AGUACAAGAAAACUUUACAUCAUUUAGAGUAUCGGGUUACAUUUCGAGACUUCUGUUUUCGAAAGGAAAAUUUCGAUUGAUGAGUAUACUAUACAUAACUCAUCAAUUUUAAAUAAUCACGACACAUUAACAGCUCGAGUUUAAUUACAAAGAAGCUAGAGCGUUUGACUUGCGCACUGGAGUCAAAAUUACUCAAUUUUAGCGCAAGCUUUGUAAAAUAAUUUUGAAAAGUUUAGUACAAGUUAGCUAAUCUCUUCGACUUAAAGAAACCUUGAUAGAUAUUAAGAGGAAAACGGCAAAAUUUUGCAUGCCCCUAAUCGCAUAGCGGUUAACUAGGAAACCAAUAACUAAAAUUUAUGCAUUGCUACGUAAAUACAAAGGGUGGCUGCAAAAUUUAAAUAUAUCCGAAUUAUAAUAUAAUUUAUUUUUUCGGAAAUUUACACAAUCCACGUGCCAUGACUUCCUUGACGUCCUUCCUUCUUUUCCUGGCCAUAAGUGUUCCCUUUCUCGUAGCCGAGGACUUCAAGCCGGUCACAAUUACGAACAAAUUUUCCCGAAUGCCCCUUUCCAGCCGGGAGUGGCCUUCCCUUGUUGUGGGUGAGAACGACAAUUCUACCGACUUUGCUUGGCUUAUCAUCGGCGACAUGAUUCGGGCGUACGACAAACCUCUCUGCGUCAUUAGCAAAGAAGACGUGAACGUGACGCUUGACUCCUGUGAAGUCAUUAACCUCGAGUUGAAUAAACCUUAUUGUCGCGUGACGGAAAUAAGGCCAGGGGGCAUCUUCAUUAUCUUUACUGAAGGAGAACAAUGCUUGGUCGAUGAAGGGAACGUUGUGGGAAAGUAUAAGCGUUGCCGUGCUACGGCACAGGAAAGAUGGACAAUCGAACCUUAUAUGGGACCAAGACUUGAGUAAACAAAAACAUUUCAUUGGUGAAUAAAAGUUUUUGACUUUUUGAGUUUUUGAAUAAAGUUUUUGACAAGAUAAUAA